AGAACAUGUAGCGCAUUCCCAAGAUAUGAUUUGACCAAGUGGUUGUUGCUCUUCCAUCGUUUAGUUUUAGACAUAUCCUUUAUCAUCUCCUUCUUCCCACCAGAAGUUGGUAACUUCAAAAGGCCACGAAGAAUUCCAUCCAUUUCUUUUAGAACAAAUAACAUUAUCUUGUUGAACACAGUGCUAGACAUAGUACUCCACUUUGACUUAGCAUCUUCACCAGUAUCAUCG
rnacentral:misc_RNA from 1 species